rnacentral:tRNA from 1 species
GCUGGUGUAGCUCAGUUGGUAGAGCAGCUGAUUUGUAAUCAGCGGGUCGGGAGUUCGAAUCUUCUCACCAGCUCCA